rnacentral:rRNA from 1 species
ACGGGAGGCAGCAGUGGGGAAUGUUGCACAAUGGGCGCAAGCCUGAUGCAGCGAUGCCGCGUGAGGGAAGAAGGUUUUCGGAUUGUAAACCUCUGUCAACAGGGACGAAAAUGACGGUACCUGUGAAGAAAGCUCCGGCUAACUACGUGCCAGCAGCCGCGGUAAUACGUAGGGAGCAAGCGUUAUCCGGAAUUACUGGGUGUAAAGGGAGUGUAGGCGGGACUGUAAGUCAGAUGUGAAAUAUGCCGGCUCAACUGGCAGACUGCAUUUGAAACUGCGGUUCUUGAGUGAAGUAGAGGUAAGCGGAAUUCCUAGUGUAGCGGUGAAAUGCGUAGAUAUUAGGAGGAACAUCAGUGGCGAAGGCGGCUUACUGGGCUUUAACUGACGCUGAGGCUCGAAAGCGUGGGGAGCAAACAGGAUUAGAUACCCUGGUA